GAUGAACGCUGGCGGCGUGCCUAAUACAUGCAAGUCGAGCGAACAGACGAGGAGCUUGCUCCUCUGACGUUAGCGGCGGACGGGUGAGUAACACGUGGAUAACCUACCUAUAAGACUGGGAUAACUUCGGGAAACCGGAGCUAAUACCGGAUAAUAUAUUGAACCGCAUGGUUCAAUAGUGAAAGACGGUUUUGCUGUCACUUAUAGAUGGAUCCGCGCCGCAUUAGCUAGUUGGUAAGGUAACGGCUUACCAAGGCGACGAUGCGUAGCCGACCUGAGAGGGUGAUCGGCCACACUGGAACGGAGACACGGUCCAGACUCCUACGGGAGGCAGCAGUAGGGAAUCUGCCGCAAUGGGCGAAAGCCUGACGGAGCAACGCCGCGUGAGUGAUGAAGGUCUUCGGAUCGGAAAACUCUGUUAUGAGGGAAGAACAAAUGUGUAAGUAACUAUGCACGUCUUGACGGUACCUAAUCAGAAAGCCACGGCUAACUACGUG
rnacentral:rRNA from 1 species